rnacentral:lncRNA from 1 species
GGGGGUUGCGGGGGUGGGCCCCUCCUAGGGGGGAGGGGCUGGGGCCGGACCGGGACCCUCCCCACAGCCCCAGCCCCGCACAGGGGAGGUUGGGGCAGGCAGCUCAAGGCCCCCCCCCCGCGUCCGGACCCCAGGGCGGCUCUCCAAGCGAGGACACGGUGGGGCCCCGAAAAUGGAGCCCCCCAGCGGUUCCGAGCCUCGCCCCACUCCCUGGCGAUGGGAGGGGACGCAGGAGGGGAGUGGCCGGAAGCCUCCGCCUUUCCUCCUCGCUCUCCCGACCAACUGCUCCCGGCCCUCCGCCUUCCAGGGGAGAGAGGAGCUUUUUUGAAGGGCGUCCUCUCCUCGCCCCCAACAGCCCUCCUUUUACGGUUCAUUUUUUGCAGUUUGACGCCUGUCCCCCACCCCCAGCCCUGCCCUGUCCUACCCCUAACCCCCUGGAAACUGAAGAGACAGCCACGCGGUCAGAGCCUCCGGACACCCUGGCCCUGCCCCGGGGGAGUCCACUCCCGGCCCUGGCCUCAGUGGGCCGGGGAUGGGGCGGCGUCAGCCCGCCCCCCACCGUUAUCCCCAACCCUCUCCUGCCCCACAGACUCUUUUGAUACUGAAGGGAGGUUUGCGUCAACGACUACCUGCUCUGUAAUUACUUUAAAAAAAAAAAAAACACGGAAAAAGUAAAAAAUUUUUUGGUCAUGGAAGCAUGGAGGAGAGAGAGAAAAGGGAACAUGGGUGGGCAGCUGAAUGAGGAGAUGGAAAACUCCGGGCCCCAUCGGGAAGGUCAGCGGGGAGCUGGCGCCUCCAGGCGCUCUUAGACCCUUGCCCUUUCACCCCUACGGCCCCAGAGAAGGGCUGGGUCGCCCAGCGCACCUGGCAUUGCGUCUAAUCUCCUUGCACCUCUUAGGAGGCAUGUUCUGGGGUCCUCUCCCCUCACCUCCCACCUCACAGCAGGAAUCCGGGGGCGUGUUUCCUGCGGCUGCCCUUUCAAGGUACCACAGAGUGGGUGGCUCAGAACUACAGCAAUUUAGUGUCUCAGUUCGGAGUCCAAAGUCAAGAUAGGGGCAGAGCCAUGCUCCCUCGUAGGGAAGGGUCCUUCUCCGCCCCUUCUGGCUUCUGGUGGCCCCAGAUGUUCCUUGACUGGUGGCCAGUCUCCACAGGGCAUUCUUCCCAUUUCUCCACGUCACCUUUCCUCUAUAUCUGUGCCCAACUCCCCCCCUUCUAUGAGGUUGUUGUUGUUUAGUCCCUGUGUCAUGUCCAACUGUUUUGUGAUCCCAUGGACUGUAGCCCUCCAGGCUCCUCUGUCCGUGGGACUUCCCAGGCAAGAAUACUGGAAUGGGUUGCCACACGCUCCUGCAGGGGAUCUUCCCGACUCAGGGAUGGAGCCGGCAUCUCCUGCUUGGCAGGCAGGUUCUUUACCACUGAGCCACUUGGGAACCCCUCUUUAUGAAGACAGCAGCCAGACUGGAUUGGGGACCACAGACUCCAGCAUGAUCAAGAUCAUCUGCAAAGAUCCUAUUUCCUGCUAAGGUCAUAUUCACAGCUCCUGGAGGCAAGGACACAAUUCAGCUCAUCACAGAGCCAAACCUGAGAGGGUCCAUCUCCACUGCAAACCCAUUGGAGACACUGCCUCCGGAGAAAGCCGGCAGGGGAGGGAAGGAGGGGCAUGAAGGGUGCUCAAACUGCAGCUGGGGCCUGCUGGGCAUGAGGGGUCUGCACUUCUGCCUGGUUAACUCAGAGGCACGAGGCAGAGUCCAGGCCGGGGGAGUAGGCGGGAGCUAUGCUGUAGCUUCCCAGGUGGCACUAGUGGUAAAGAAUCCGCCUGCCAGUGCAGGAGAUGCAAGAGACGUGGGUUGGAUCCCUGGUUGAAGAAGAUCCCCUGGAGGAGGGCAUGGCAACCCACUCCAGUAUUCUUGUCUGGAGAAGCCCAUGGACAGAGGAGCCUGGCCCGCCAGAACGCAUGGGGUCACGAAGAGUCAGACACGAUUGAAGUGAUUUAGCAGGCUCGGACGCACGCUGUAGCUCAGGAGGGCAGAGGCCGCACACAGAGUCCUCGGAGAGAUGAGAGCCAGCCAGUGGGAGCAAACGACAGAGGUUGGCCAGGCCAGCGGGCAGAUGCUGGUGGGGCUGGAGGAGGCCAAGGUGCCAGCGUUUCAACCUCCAGUGGGUCCCUCAGGGCAGCUUUUGCAUGCUGUGCAGAUGAG